UGCCAGCCGCCGCGGUAAUACGAAGGUCCCAAGCGUUGUUCGGAUUUACUGGGCGUAAAGAGUACGUAGGCGGCAAGGUAAGUCAGAUGUGAAAGCCCGGGGCUCAACCUCGGAACUGCAUCCGAUACUGUCUUGCUAGAGUAGUGGAGGGGAGUCUGGAAUUCACGGUGUAGCAGUGAAAUGCGUAGAUAUCGUGAGGAACACUAGUGGCGAAGGCGAGACUCUGGACACUUACUGGCGCUGAGGUACGAAGGCCAGGGUAGCGAAAAGGAUUAGAUA
rnacentral:rRNA from 1 species